AUUGAACGCUGGCGGCAUGCCUUACACAUGCAAGUCGAACGGUAACAGGUCUUCGGAUGCUGACGAGUGGCGAACGGGUGAGUAAUACAUCGGAACGUGCCUAGUAGUGGGGGAUAACUACUCGAAAGAGUGGCUAAUACCGCAUGAGAUCUACGGAUGAAAGCAGGGGAUCGCAAGACCUUGUGCUACUAGAGCGGCCGAUGGCAGAUUAGGUAGUUGGUGGGAUAAAAGCUUACCAAGCCGACGAUCUGUAGCUGGGCUGAGAGGACGAUCGGCCACACUGGGGCUGAGACACGGCCCAGGCUCCUACGGGAGGCAGCAGUGGGGAAUUUUGGACAAUGGGCGAAAGCCUGAACCAGCAAUGCCGCGUGCAGGAUGAAGGCCUUCGGGUUGUAAACUGCUUUUGUACGGAACGAAAAGCUCUGGGUUAAUACCCUGGGGUCAUGACGGUACCGUAAGAAUAAGCACCGGCUAACUACGUGCCAGCAGCCGCGGUAAAAC
rnacentral:rRNA from 1 species